UACAGAGGUCCCAAGCGUUGUUCGGAUUCACUGGGCGUAAAGGGUGCGUAGGCGGUUUGGUAAGUCUGAUGUGAAAUCUAUGGGCUCAACUCAUAGUCUGCAUCGGAAACUGUCGAGCUAGAGUCCGGAAGAGGCGAGUGGAAUUCCUGGUGUAGCGGUGAAAUGCGCAGAUAUCAGGAGGAACACCAAUGGCGAAGGCAGCUCGCUGGGACGGUACUGACGCUGAGACGCGAAAGCGUGGGGAGCAAACAGG
rnacentral:rRNA from 1 species